rnacentral:rRNA from 1 species
CGGGACGGGUGAGUAAUGCUUGGGAAUCUAGCUUAUGAGGGGGAGUAACUACGGGAAACUGUAGCUAAUACCGCGUAAUAUCGAAAGAUUAAAGUGUGGGACCUUCGGGCCACAUGCCAUAAGAUGAGCCCAAGUGGGAUUAGGUAGUUGGUGAGGUAAAGGCUCACCAAGCCGACGAUCUCUAGCUGGUCUGAGAGGAUGACCAGCCACACUGGGACUGAGACACGGCCCAG